CCUUCGUAUGGCCCCUUGACCAUAAGGUCCCGCCUGUCCAGCUUACAUGAUAAGAUUUUAAUUUUGAUGUUGCAGGAAAAUAGUUUUAACCCAAAUAUUUUUCUACUUCAUCUUGGUGGAUUUUAUAUUCUACUGGGGACACAGGAUAUUACACACAAAAUAGUUAUACCAACAUGUACACAGUAUUCACCAUGAGGAUGCUACACCGUUUGGACUUACUUCUGAAUAUGCUCAUCUUGCUGAGAUACUUUUCCUUGGAUAGGCUACCAUUGUUGGUCCUGCUAUCACUGGGCCUCACUUGGUAACUCUCUGGUUAUGGAUGGUUCUGAGAGUCUUGGAGACUGUCGAGGCACAUUGCGGUCACCAUUUUCCUUGGAGUCCUUCAAACUUCUUCCCAUUGUAUGGGGGGGCUUGAGAGGGCAGGCUGCUUCAGCAAGUUCAAGAUUCAGGGUAGAGAUUCCCCUACGUCUCCUCUUCCCUGUGCGGCUGUCCCUCUGUCCAGAAUAGCAAGGAUUUCAAAUUAUCCCUUUCACCAUGCUGAUCAUGUUACCCUUCUUUACAAAAUCACCUUGCAGUCUGUGCAUAACUUGAAUCCUAACAUGCACUAGAAGCUGAAGAAGAAAGUGGAGGUGACUUAGAUCGUGUUGGACAGUUCAUUACUGAUUUAAUCAUGUGGAGAAAUGUGUCAAAAUUGACCCUUUGGUUUGGUUUGAGUCUCUUUGUUUCUUGUCUUCUUGCUUCUUGCUUCUCUAAAGGACUCAACUUCAGAUUCGUUUGGAGGAACACUUGGAGCAGGAAAAGAGGAUUGUGAAGGAGCCUUGCUUGAACACACUGGACGAGUUCGAGACGUCCAACAGCUGAUUCAAGAUGGAUCGUCGUUCGGGGAGGAUCCGGAGCGCAAUGACUAUUACUGAGCCUUUGACGUGGACCCGGACUUCAUGCAUGAUCGGAUGAGGGUCGAUGUUAGGAGUGUAUUAUAUGGGGGGAUUGUUUUCACAGCUCUGAUUGUCAUUUCCCGUUUUGGGGCUGACUUAUCUCCUUGAAAACUGUAUUCAUAAAACUCAUGGCUCUGACCAUGGGAUGCACUUAUUCGCCUGCGGGCACUAUCCCCAAUUACUUUAUGUUUAUUA